GUGGGGAAUAUUGGGCAAUGGGGGAAACCCUGACCCAGCGACGCCGCGUGAGGGAAGAAGGCCUUAGGGUCGUAAUCCUCUGUUGUGUGGGAAGAAGAGCGUGACGAUACCACACGAGGAAGUCCCGGCUAACUACGUGCCAGCAGCCGCGGUAAUACGUAGGGGACGAGCGUUGUCCGGAUUUACUGGGCGUAUAGGGCGCGUAGGCGGUCAUUUAAGUCGGCUGUGAAAUGGUUUGGCUUAACCAGAUCAUGCGUUUGAAACUGGAUGACUGGAUAGCUGGAGAAGCACGUGGAAUUCCCAGUGUAGCGGUGAAAUGCGUAGAUAUUGGGAAGAACACCGGUGGCGAAAGCGACUUGCUGGCCAGCAACUGACGCUAAGGCGCGAAAGCCAGGGGAGCAAACGGGAUUAGAAACCCCAGUAGUCC
rnacentral:rRNA from 1 species